CAGUAGCCGCGGUAAUACGAAGGGGGCUAGCGUUGUUCGGAUUUACUGGGCGUAAAGCGCACGUAGGCGGAUCCUUAAGUCAGAGGUGAAAUCCCAAGGCUCAACCUUGGGACUGCCUUUGAUACUGGGGAUCUCGAGUUCGGGAGAGGUGAGUGGAACUGCGAGUGUAGAGGUGAAAUUCGUAGAUAUUCGCAAGAACACCAGUGGCGAAGGCGGCUCACUGGCCCGAUACUGACGCUGAGGUGCGAAAGCGUGGGGAGCAAACAGGAUUAGAUACCCGUGUAGUCCCUGUCUCUUAUAU
rnacentral:rRNA from 1 species